UUCAGGUUUGCCACGUCCUUGUGCCUGACCCUGGUGUUUUGUCGACUCCCUGUAGCUGGCCCUGGUUGUGGCAACUACCAAUACCAUGGACAUGGUACUUGGUAGACUACAGUCAUGUAGCUAGCUACUUGCUUGUGCCCUUGAAAGUUGAAGGCUUGAUAAUGAUAUCCGUACAGUUUGUUCGGCUGUCAUCAUUCAUGGCUUUCAGUUUGUAAAGCAUGCUGUACCUACUACUACUACUAGUACUAGCCAAGUACUACAAUCAUGUAGUACCGGUACUAGUAGACCUCUACCUCUUUAGACCCACACUGAGCAGGCUAGGCCGGAAUGGACAAGAGUGGCAAGAGCCAAGAGGUGCAACAUCAAUCCUGACUUGGAGCACAGUUGCAGAAUGACGCACAACGCGGUGGUGACAAUGAUACGAGUACGUUGGCAUGGCAAUCCCAUCUGAGUGACCGAUGCCUGGGCAAUGGCAGAAGAGAGCGCGGUGACAUAUCUUGGAUAGUUCUACGGCUGUGCAAGGUCGUCCACUCUUUGAAGACAAGCGUUCCGUGAAAAGAUCUGCAUGUAUGUAAGAUCAGCGAGUUUCCAGUCAAGACAACUGACACCACCCCAUUGACGGUAUCCUGCAUUAGACCCGCUGGCUACUCCUUGACUCGCUGAACCGAAAUUAAUUGCUCGCCCGUGUAAGCCGCCCAGCUGGAUGCAGCUGCUGAAGCGAAGUGUGGAGAGUCUUCACUUUGCUGACACCAGGGAAAACAAUACGCUCCGGCGUAAACGUUUCUCAGCCUCCCCUCCACCUGUGAUUAAUGACAUGAUGUUGCAACUUCCCCUUAAAAGGAAGUCGCAACACUGGGCUAGCUGCAUAGCUGCAUAGCCAGUGUAGUGUGACAGUUGUGUGAGAACUGGUCGUAUGAUUGAUAGUGUAGACCUGUUUGUUAUCUACUAGUACUACUCAGCAGCCCACACCACACCAGCAGUAACCUGAACACUAGUAGCAACACCGUAGUAGCCUGGCACAUUCUAUUGCUAUUUAAGUGGAGGCCUAUUGUUAGCUGGCAAGGGUGUUGAGAUGCGCCAAGUGCUGUAAACAAUCCUGAGGAACCUUCCACCUUGCUCCCUAUCCAACUAACUUGCUGGGCCCAGCCGGCUCGCACAGUCACACUCCCAAUGAGUGUACUACCUUCGACAACAGACACUUAAUUAGGCAACAGACAAAGAAGCCAAUUUCCUCUAGUGCUGAACGUUACUUGUUCCAUGCCCAGUUCCUGCGGAUUGAAGACUAGACACAUGGCCUGUAUUCAAUAUUCAGUACAUGUGCUUCCAAUAAUGUCUUUUUUUUGACGGCCUCUUAUACAGGCAAUCAGAGAACAUGAUAUCACUGGCCUGACACAACAACUUAAGAAAAACAAAAACAAACAAAAAUAUAAUGUCUGCACUCAUGGAACUAUAGUUUAGUUGCCAGAAGACCUCACCUUUUUGCUGUGCCAGUGUGUUGAGCUUGAAGCCACACCGUCCAGCAAUUCUCACACCGUCCAGCAAUUCUCACUCCAGAAGUAUGAAGCCAAGUACGAAACAAUGGGCCAUAGACAAAUCAGACCAAGAUUGGUCUGUGUGUUCACUUGUCUCACUCAUGUAGGUACAGUUAGCUCUGCGUUCCCUGCUGCCAAUCUCACUACCCAUUGCAGGUGUUUCUCUUCUUCCCAUUGCUGACCUCUGCAUGCCUUAUUCUUUCAUCUGCUAUUAGUGAGUAUUACUUUGAUUAUGUACUUCUAACAACAUUCUUAUGUGGCUGAACGUCGAAAAGUGUGUAUCAACUUCUAAAGCACUGUACGAGAUGACGGCGGAAUUCGUGGAUUAGUAGUGACCUCAAUCUGCAGUAUAGAGAUUUUCUCUAGUUUCAUGAAUGCCUAACUCAACCUUUUUCGCCCGCAGGAAGGCGUGGCAUACCUUCGCUGCUUUUUGUUGUUGUUGUUGUUGUUGUUGUUGUUGUUGUUGUUGUUGUUGUUGUUGUUGUUGUAUAACUGUUACUUGAUUAUAGCGGUAGUCAACACGUGCCGCGUUAAGCCUAAUAACAAUGGACCCACUGCCCCUCCUUCUUAGGCUUUGUCGCACAACUCUCCUACACGAACAGCUAUUGAAAGGUAUGCAUUCCUUCUGGCCCGCAUGCUGAAAUAUCUUCCUUAUUGGCCAUGGGCCAUCGUGGAAACAUAGAAUAAAGAAUGGGAAUCAUUAAAAUUAAAAGAAAGGACCGAAAGUGUACAUGGUAUCCGUAGUUCAGGUUGUUGAAUGUCACUACCACAUCAGUCAGUAUUGUGCUAACUGCUGCACCUUCUGACGUCAUAAUCUCUUGCUUACCGUAUUUCCGCAAAUAAAAGGCCGUAUACAACGCC